CUAGAGGUGAUUUCUGCUGACAGGGUCACAGCGGAGCCUGAAACACGUCCAUCAGAUUUAUCAAUGUGAACGUCAUCGGUGACGUUGGCAGGAGCAGUUAGUAACUCAAUAAUGUCGGAAGCCACAAAGUGUGGAAGAGGGAAAGGUUCCAUGGUCUGCAGCUAAGAACCUUAACCAAUAACACAGCGAGUCACUCCAGAUACGGUUGCAGUAACUGACCCUCCAGGGUGCGAGAGUCUCGCCUGGGAAUGGGAUUGGCCAUCUGACCUGGCUGGGUGUGAAGGUGAUGAAGAUCCUACUAGUGCUGGGGCAGUCAUGCCUCCCUAGAGAGGUCACCACAUAUGCAGAUGCCCAAAUAAGAUAUUGUUACCGGCAACAUUCUUGUCAUAUGUCUUCUGAUGUGCGUGGCAAAAAUUUCUCUUGG
rnacentral:lncRNA from 1 species